GGCUGAGUACGGAGAGAUGAUCACCUCCCUGCUUCUGCUGACUACGUUAUUUCUGGUACAAGCCAGGAUACCAUUGGCCUUCUUGUACACCUGGGCACACUGUUGGCUCACAUUUACCUGAGCAUUGACCAUUAUCCGCACUUCCAUUACCUCCACACAGUCUAGUGGACACUAUCCCAAGCCUAUAAUGUUGCCUGGGGGUUAUUGUAGCCAGAGUGCAGGAUGUGGUACCUGAACUUGUUGAGUUUCAUCCCACCAACCUCAUCUCAGCUAUCCAGCCUGUCCAGAUCCCUCUCCCAGGCCUUCCUGCCCCCAGGCAGAUUGGUGCUUCCUCCCAUCCUGGUGUCAUCUGCAAACUUACUGAAGGUGCACUAAAUCCUGCUCAUCAGUAGAAAUACUAAGCAGAACAGGCCCCAACUAACAACUUCUUUUUUUUAACUCUAUCAUACCAGAUAUUGUCAUGAUUCUAUGCCCUUAUGAUUUUUUUUUACAAAUCAAAAUUAUACAUGCAUAAAAUUUGUAUUGGGAGAGCUAAUUAGUGGAAGCUCAGUUUGUAAUUUUAUAUAUUUGUAUUUUCAAAGGGGAUUGCUUUGGAGACCAAGAGUUGGUCUGUGUUUAAUAUUAUAGAGAUGGCUUCUGGUUACAGUGAUACAGGGAAUAAAGUAUUCACUUAGUAUUCAUGUUUUUUUCUGGCUACUGAAAAACAUUAUGUUGAUGCACUGAGUCUGCAAAAAAAUCAAACAAAACUAGAACAGAAGCCUAAGGAAAAUAAUAAUAAAUGUGUGGUAGCCAAUAACAAAUUGAAAUUUGGUUCCAAGUUUCUUGAACAUUAACAUAUUUUAUCAUGAGGUGUUUAGAAGUGUGGGCUAGAAUAAGAAUUCAAUGAAAUAAAACUUAGCCCUGCUUUGAACAGGGAGUGUUGAAUUAGAUGACCUCCAGAUGUCACAUCGGAUCUGAAUCCUUCCAUGCUUCUGAAAAGGUAGAAGAAAUGUAGUGCUAAAUUAGUACUCUCAUGAGUGAGACCACUCCCAUUUUACAUCUCAGUUACUGUAGUCUGAGAAAUAUGUCAUUUUUUGAGUUAUCUUAUGUUUGUUAUGAGCUCACAUGGGAGUACACAUUAUGGUUUCCCAAUGUUCCUGCCAUGUCUGCCCUAGGACUUUUUUUAUGUAAGGUAUGCAGAGCUUUAAGGAUGCAGUGAUGAAUUUAGGGUAAAUAUGUUUUAUUAAUAUUUGGGCCUGAAUAAUUGCUGUUUUACUCUCUGAAUUCUUGAAAAUUUUAACAGAAGAUGACCUCUUCAAUAUGUGAUUGGGGUAAACAGUUGUUGCUAUUUAAAAGUUUUAGUCACCCACUCAGGAAAGAAAACUAAUCUGGUCUGAUUUAGACAGUCAGUCACGCAAAGGGCACACAGGCAACAACACUGUCCAAAAUAUACAUCCUGAAAACAGCUCCACAUACUGAAAUCAUUUGGGAUCAGCUUUCAGAUGUUUCAUAAGCAAAACCAAGGUUUAACUUCACCAAAUGAAUGCUUCACAAUGAAUAAUGCACCCAGCUGUAGCAGUAAAUGCCAUUUGCUCAACUGCUUAACUAUUCAUCCUUUUGACCAAGGUUUAUGGUGGUGUGAAAUGAAGCUUAACUUUGCAAAUAUGGAAUGUAUAGUAAAAUUAUCCCCUUUUGUGAAAUUAGAAGGAAUAAGCUUCUGAUGGGUGUUUAUGUACUGUGCUAGCAGAUUAUAAAAGAUUAAAAGGAAAUUUUAAUGAAGUGAAAAGCAGCCCUUGAAGCUUCUAACCCUCAUGAUUAGAGGAGCAGAAUCUAGGGGAUUUAAGAGGGUUUAGCAAGAUGAGGUUGGUGGGGUGGGGAGAUUAUGACCUGUGAUUGAAACUCGUUGCUUGUCUAUCUCAUGUGUCCUUAGCUAAUGUAUUUAGGACCAUAGUUGUUUCAAAAACAAUGAGGAUGAAAUGGGCAAAAGAAAUGUAGUCCUGAAAUAGUUUAAAGGCGUGUUUAAUCAAGUCAAACCAAACACAAGAGAUUACAGAUUUACAUAUGCAUAAGGGAGAGAAUGCAAGUUAUAGGCUUGUGCAAUUUCUUUUACACUUGUAAUAAAAUUUACGGAAAAGUGGGUAAUACAGGGUUUGUAUUUAUAACUUUCCGUCAUGCUAUAGGAAUGUUUUGAAAUAAAGUAACAAUCUUCAGUAUUACUUGGAUUAACUAUCCAAAAGGAUUCUUUAGAAUGUAUUCCAGAAUACUGAAAGCAUUGAACAAUAACUGCUAAUGAAAGAAAGGUAAAAAAGCCUAUAUUACUGCCAUUAUACAAUCCCUAAGAAAUUGCAAUGAGACCACAAAAGGUAUGUACAGAGCAGUUAUUUGUCUUUUGUUGUAUGAGCUGUACAAACAGUCACAUUCACCUACAGAAUGUCAGUUUCUGGGCAAAUGUCAGUUUUGCAGUUAAGCUUGAUUUCUAUCCUAGCAAAAUGCCCGAGACAGCAGUACCCAAAAAUAACUGGGCUCCGUUUUGUAUCACUGGAUCCCAUUUCCUGCUUGAUCAAGUUGUCCUGGGCCAAGAGAGCUGGGGAAAAAUUUUGAUAUGACACCUUUUUUCUUUUCUUUUCCCUCUCAUUUCUGGAAGAUGGGUUACUUAAUUUCAGAACUGAAGAGUCUGAUUCACAGCUGAUGAUGUCUGGGUAAAUGUAAUCAGUUUGUGGCCAAAUGUUUGUAAAUAACAACAUCCCACACCUUUUUUCAUUUAUUCAUUUCUGGCUAGCCUAAACAUCUUCACACAAUCUUGUUUCUGAUGAACUUAUGCUGAAUUUCUAAAUAUAAGUGUAUCUUUUAAAUUGCAAGUUUGACAAUCAGUUAACAAAUCUCCACUUUUCCAACUUCUACAAAAGACAACCUUGUUUUUAGAACCCGAGUCAGCUAUAUUGUGUUUCCUGGGACUAUCAGUAGUGUAGAUGUCAAAUAAUAAAUAUUGAACUGUUCCUUAUGAUGGAUUUCCUGUCCACUGAAAAUACAGUUUUCAAAUCUGCUUUUAAAAGAUUGGAAGAGUGCAAGGAAAUUAGUCUAUAGCUUAGUGCUGGGGGGAGUUACCGCUCAAGUUACAACUUCUGCUGACUGGCACUAGAGUGAAUUAUUUACCUAUUGACUUUUGAAAAGUGGUCUGUCUGUGGACUGGGGAAGUAUGUAAUUUUCAGUCAUUACAACUGAAAUUUGUCAAUCCAGCAUAAGGAAGGGAUAAACGAGUUUGCACUAAUAGGAAAUGGCCUUAGCAAUAUGCUUUGACCAAGUAAUUACCAUAGCCAAUUUCCUGUGAAAUUUAAGCUUGAAAAGAAAAUCGUAUCUUCACAUUUCCGUGGGAGAAAUGUAGUCCAGACAACUUUGCAGUCCUGAAGAAAUGUCCAGAAGUUUGUCUGAUUUUAUUCUGAGUGUAUCAGUUGAUCUGAACAAAGAUACAGCUUCUCUUUACCAAGCUGUCUGCCCCGCAUUCUUACACCAUUCUAGGUAAAGCAGAUUUAUUAAUAUUAAACCAGAUGGCUAUAGGCAAAAUGUGCUUUUUCAAGUAAUGGGGAUGCUUUUAUUGACUUUGAUACACUUUACACUUCAGUCUUACAAGAAUCAGCAUGAGUGAACUUUCAGUUGACUGAUUUUCAUUGUGCAAGUGGCUUAUUGCAACUAAUACUGGAACUAAGAAGAUCAUUAUUUUCUGGAGGUCUAUAUGUUAUAUUGUAUACACCAUUGUAGCUAAAAACAGAAAAAUAUUUUUUCCUCUGAAACUGGGCUCAGUGAAUGAAAAGGUCUAUUCAGAGUGAAUUUUUUCCAUCUCUGUCUACUGAUGCUAUACUUGGGCACUGAAAGCUGCUCAAGUCUUGAGUCAGUUCAGUUCACUUCUUUCAUAUUCAAGUAACUGGUAACAGAAUUUGGCAUAACUUCUUUAACUUGUGAAUACUGAAGUUUAUGGACAAAAUUCUCUUUUAAAGGCAACAGAAUUAAACAAUUUGUGGUUCAGUCUGCUCAAGACAAAGAUGAGUUUGAGGAGAAAUGUUCUACAACAGGUCCCUACAACAUUCUGAACACACUAUAUUUGCAAAGCAGGAAGACUUCAGUGCCAGCUGAGGGAUGCUGUGGGCAGGAGCAAGUGGAGAGGACAGAGGUGCUGCUGAGAAGUGGACUUGCAGGCACCCUGCCUUGCAAAGGAGGCUGUCCAGUGACAGGCCUUCCCACCCAGAGCCUGGAAAAUUCUCCUUAAUCAUCAGACUUCUUACAGCUUAAUGCAGGAACUCCCUUGCUAAGUUAGGAGGUGUAGCCCUGUGUUUUAGACCUGCCUUGCUGAGAGGCAUAUGGCAGACACACUUUGUGAAUUCUUUAUCUUUUAUCCUUGCUUAAGUAAAGGAAAAGGCUUUUUGACACAGCAAAUCUUUUCAAAAAUGAGAUAUUUCCUUUCUUAUUGGCUUUAUAUUAAAGCGUGGUGACCUUUACACUAUGAUAAAACAAGAGAGAGACAAUUACUUUUUUAAUGAAAUAAAACCCAUUGAAACUGUAGGCCCCCUAACCUCACCCAAGUAAACUUGAUAAAUCAAUUGAAAAAAAAAGAAGAAGAAAA